rnacentral:lncRNA from 1 species
AGCAAUCUACACACAUACACUCACACACCCCGUCCCUUUCCCUCCUCGCAGAAGCCGAGGAGAUGCCAUGUGAGGGUGCAGCGAGGAGUUGGGCUGUCUAAAAGCAAAGAAAGAGAUUGCAUCAGACACCGCAUCUGCUGACACCUUGUUCUUGGACUUCCAGCUUCCAAAACCGCGAGAAAUAAAUGUCUGUGUCUAAACCCCAACCCUACCACCUCAACUGCCGUGUGUGGUGUUUUGUGAUGGCAGCCCCAGCUGACUGAGACACCUGGUUAGACCGGAAUAAGCAGGCUGCAAUCGGUAGCAGUCACCAUUGAACAUCCUUGAAGCAAUUCUUCCAAAAUUACCUUGCAUCAAAGACUGCACAAGAACUGCUCUAAGCGGAAGGACUGAUGUCGGCAACCAGGGUUCCACCAGGGGCUGCAGACAGCCCUUGACCUUCAGGUAGAACUGGAAGAUUUUGCUGAAAGAUUGG